rnacentral:lncRNA from 1 species
UUGUGUUUUCAGCUGAGCAACUGGAGAAGAUGACAGCCCAGAAGACCAGAACUUGCCUUGAAUGCAGGAAGAGGCAAUGCCACUCUAAGAAACAUGAACAACCCUGGAAGACGAUCAUAUCCUUUCUCAAUAUUAUAGACUGAACUGUGUCUUCCUUGCAAACUCACAUAUUGAAGUCCUAAUCCCCCAGUACUUCAGAAUAUGACAGUAUUGGUACAGAGUGUCUUUAAAGAGGUGUUGCUUUAUUCCUGAGUGUUGAGUGGAUGCUUCUAGGGUGGCACUGAAACUCUCUCUGUGCACACCCUGGUGACAAAUGCAGGUGGGCUUCAAGACCCCAUCUCCACCCAUAGGGUGGGUACGACCACUCUGAUGCAGGGUCUCUUAUGAGAACAAGUAAUUGUUCUCAUCAGAUGGUUUUAAACCAGCAAGAAAGGCUUUAUUCAAGAUCUUUGCAGUAGGGGAGAGCACCCAGGUCCUCUGCAGCACACGGCAGGAAGGCUGAGAGGCCUGAGGGGCUGCUGAGCAGGUGGGAGAGCCCUGGAGGCCUCAGCAGGGGGCUGGCCCCCUAAUCCUCCUCAAUGGAGUCAGGCUCCUGCCCUCCCACAGUGCCUGAGGGGCUGGGCCCUUUCUUUCUCGAUGCCUCAUUUUCCAAGGCAGCUCCCAGGCCUGGAGAAGGACAUUUCCUGAGCUGUGGAACUGGCAAGUAGCUGGAAGAAGAUUUACACCUUGAAGGGGCAGAGAGAGUUUACAAUUUUACGUUUUCCAAAAUCAGUGCUCUGGACAGGGGAGGUGGAGGCCCAAGUUAGGAAGAAAUCUGUCUGGAGUGAACAAGCCUGGGGGAGUGAACGCCGGCUCGGCCCAAGUGUGGCCGGCAGCCCAGCUGCUGGUGCAGAGGUGUCCUGAUCAUAGUGCUCCAGCAUUGCUGCUCUGGGCCCACUGGCAGGGUCCAGGGUUCCUGUGUCACCACCCAGGGCCCUGACAGCCGGCUGAAGCCCUCACUUUCCUCCACAUGCCUGGCUGGGCCGGGAGGCCAAACCCCAGAGGCCACUAUUUGAGUCCUUCAUCCGUGUUGUCCUCACUGAGCAGUGGAGACUCAGUGGCUGUGUCUAGGAGUGGGCCCCGCCCCAGUGACCCUCACGAUGCUCCACACAUACACAGGCGGGUCUGCAGGGUGGCCGGGCCCUCCACAGGAGUGUGACCGGCAGAAACCAACACCUCUACUCUGCCCAGGUGCACGCAGGGCAAUGUUCUUCAUCCUGAUGACAGUGCACCCAGCCUGCUGCUGACAUGACUUGAGGAAGCUUCAGUCCAGAGGCUGAGGGACCCACACCGGGGCUCCAGCAGCUCACAGUGGGUGGACAGGUCACUGCUGCAGCACCUGAGAGUGGGCAGGGUGGAGAGGCAGCGAGUCAGGGCUACGAUGGCGGAAGGUGGAGGCGACCUCCCUCUGGGCUUCGAAUCCAGCCCUCCCACCUGGCAGUCAUGGAGCCUCACCAAGCAGUUUAACUCCCAAGUCCCAGAUCCCAUCUGUGAAGCCAGGUGGUAAGAACUGUGGGUCACUGGGUCUCCUGGGUUCCCAGAGGCCCCCAUGGCCAUCUCUAGAACAGCAGCUCCCCAUGGGUAGCACCUACAUUCCCAGGCACAGUCCCACCUGGACACCUCCAGCCCACCCUGGAGCUGCGAGUGAACCAGCACCCUCUCCUGCCUCCUUCCAGGCCUCGGGCCACAGCCUCUCACAGGACCCCUGGGAAUCACCCGCAUCUAUCGCUGUUUACCCACCGGGACCCACCUCCCAGGCUACCUGGGAAAAGCCACGGGAUUUAUGUGCAUCUGGAGAGGCAGCUCCACCUUCCUCACAUGAGCGGUCACUAAUGAUUUGACUUUGUCAGCCUGCAAGGUGGAAAGGAGAUUUACUCUCCACAGACUGGACAGUCCUUAGCUUUGCGCUUGUCACAUAAAUGGCAUUUAAUAAAUGCUCCCUGGACUCAGCACUGCUCCUGAAGGCCUGUAUUGUGGUCAAAUAUCGUUUCUUCUGCAGAUGAGCUUAUUCUUCUCCUCUCAGGAUCAAUCCUUUCGCCUUCACCGAGGCAUCUGACACUAGCAUUUGGAGGAACACCCAUUCCUUCCUCUUCUCUCAGCUGCCUUUGGAAAUUACCAUCCCAAACGUGACUCCCCACAGAGUGGCACUCACUGAUCACGGGUCUUAACUUUAAAAGGUUAAAAAUAAGUCAAGGCUUAAGGUAAAUUAACAGGAGGCGUGGAUGUCUGAGCAAUGUGGUGAACUGAGUCACAGGACUGCCGGGAGGUUCACAGCUGGGACUUUCCAGGCCUCCCGAACGCAGAGCGCCUGAAGACCUCAGUGGGGCCACAGAGUGUGUUUCAGGUGUGAUUUGGGGUCAUUUAUGCCAAUUUUAUUCACUUUUAUUUUCAUCUGGUUUUCUUUCUAUAUAUUACAUCAUGCAUGGCACGUUUAUAGUCAUCCGUAUGACGUCUGUCUCACACAGUGAGUAAAGGAGUACAGCUGUACUUUUCACUCAGCAAAAUAGGAAAGAAUAAAGAUG